rnacentral:rRNA from 1 species
AGUGAACGCUGGCGGUAGGCCUAACACAUGCAAGUCGAACGGCAGCACAGUAAGAGCUUGCUCUUACGGGUGGCGAGUGGCGGACGUGUGAGGAAUACAUCGGAAUCUACUUUUUCGUGGGGGAUAACGUAGGGAAACUUACGCUAAUACCGCAUACGACCUACGGGUGAAAGCAGGGGAUCUUCGGACCUUGCGCGAUUGAAUGAGCCGAUGUCGGAUUAGCUAGUUGGCGGGGUAAAGGCCCACCAAGGCGACGAUCCGUAGCUGGUCUGAGAGGAUGAUCAGCCGCACUGGAACUGAGACACGGUCCAGACUCCUACGGGAGGCAGCAGUGGGGAAUAUUGGACAAUGGGCGCAAGCCUGAUCCAGCCAUACCGCGUGGGUGAAGAAGGCCUUCGGGUUGUAAAGCCCUUUUGUUGGGAAAGAAAAGCAGCAGGUUAAUACCCCGCUGUUCUGACGGUACCCAAAGAAUAAGCACCGGCUAACUUCGUG